rnacentral:rRNA from 1 species
UACAGAGGUGGCAAGCGUUGUUCGGAAUUACUGGGCGUAAAGCGCACGUAGGCGGCUUUCUAAGUCGGGGGUGAAAUCCUGGAGCUCAACUCCAGAACUGCCUUCGAUACUGGGGAUCUCGAGUCCGGGAGAGGUGAGUGGAACUCCGAGUGUAGAGGUGAAAUUCGUAGAUAUUCGGAAGAACACCAGUGGCGAAGGCGGCUCACUGGCCCGGUACUGACGCUGAGGUGCGAAAGCGUGGGGAGCAAACAGG